GACGAAGGGGGCUAGCGUUGUUCGGAAUUACUGGGCGUAAAGCGCGUGUAGGCGGUUGUUCAAGUCGGGUGUGAAAGCCUUGAGCUCAACUCAAGAAAUGCACUCGGUACUGGAUGACUAGAGGACCGGAGAGGAUAGUGGAAUUCCCAGUGUAGUGGUGAAAUACGUAGAGAUUGGGAAGGAACACCAGUGGCGAAGGCGGCUAUCUGGACGGUUUCUGACGCUAAGACGCGAAAGCGUGGGGAGCAAACAGGG
rnacentral:rRNA from 1 species